UACGAAGGGGGCUAGCGUUGCUCGGAAUCACUGGGCGUAAAGGGCGCGUAGGUGGCGAAUCAAGUCAGAGGUGAAAUCCUGAAGCUCAACUUCAGAACUGCCUUUGAUACUGAUUUGCUAGAGUUCGAGAGAGGUAAGUGGAAUUCCGAGUGUAGAGGUGAAAUUCGUAGAUAUUCGGAAGAACACCAGUGGCGAAGGCGGCUUACUGGCUCGAUACUGACACUGAGGCGCGAAAGCGUGGGGAGCAAACAGGAUUAGAUACCCUGGUAGUCCACGCUGUAAACGAUGGAUGCUAGCCGUUGGUCAGUUUACUGAUCCGUGGCGCAGCUAACGCAUUAAGCAUCCCGCCUGGGGAGUACGGUCGCAAGACUAAA
rnacentral:rRNA from 1 species